rnacentral:rRNA from 1 species
GAUGAACGCUAGCGGCAGGCUUAAUACAUGCAAGUCGAGGGGCAGCAUGAUUGUAGCAAUACAAUUGAUGGCGACCGGCAAACGGGUGCGGAACACGUACACAACCUUCCAACAAGUGGGGGAUAGCCCAGAGAAAUUUGGAUUAAUACCCCGUAACAUAGCGAUGUGGCAUCACAUUGCUAUUAUAGAUUUUUCGCUUGUUGAUGGGUGUGCGGCUGAUUAGAUAGUUGGCGGGGUAACGGCCCACCAAGUCUACGAUCAGUAGCUGAUGUGAGAGCAUGAUCAGCCACACGGGCACUGAGACACGGGCCCGACUCCUACGGGAGGCAGCAGUAAGGAAUAUUGGACAAUGGACGCAAGUCUGAUCCAGCCAUGCCGCGUGAAGGAUUAAGGUCCUCUGGAUUGUAAACUUCUUUUAUAAGGGACGAAAAAAGGCUUUUCUAAGUCGUCUGACGGUACCUUAUGAAUAAGCCACGGCUAAUUCCGUGCCAGCCGCCGCAGUAAGAC